rnacentral:rRNA from 1 species
UACGUAGACCACAAGCGUUAUCCGGAUUUAUUGGGCGUAAAGCGUGUGUAGGGGGCCCGGUGCGUCUAUGGUUAAAGCCCACCGCCUAACGGUGGAAGUGCCAUGGAUACGAUCGGGCUGGAGGGCGUUAGAGGUGCACGGAACAUAUGGUGUAGGGGUGAAAUCCGUUGAUAUCAUAUGGAACACCGAAGGCGAAGGCAGUGCACUGGGACGUUCCUGACCCUGAGACACGAAAGCGUGGGGAGCAAAAAGG